UGGGGAAUUGUUCACAAUGGGCGCAAGCCUGAUGACGCAACGCCGCGUGGGGGAUGAAGGUCUUCGGAUCGUAAACCCCUGUCGAAUGGGACGAAAGACUCGCGAGUGAAUACUUCGCGAGAGUGACGGUACCGUUAAAGGAAGCCACGGCUAACUCUGUGCCAGCAGCCGCGGUAAUACAGAGGUGGCAAGCGUUGUUCGGAAUUACUGGGCGUAAAGGGCGCGUAGGCGGCCCUCUAAGUCAGACGUGAAAUCCCCCGGCUUAACCUGGGAACUGCGUCUGAUACUGGAGGGCUUGAGUAUGGGAGAGGGAUGUAGAAUUCCAGGUGUAGCGGUGAAAUGCGUAGAUAUCAAGAGGAACACCUGAGGUGAAGACGGGUUGCUGGGCUGACACUGACGCUGAGGCGCGAAAGCCAGGGGAGCAAACGGGAUUAGAUACCCCCGUAGUCCCUGAGCGGGCUGGCAAGGCGCAU
rnacentral:rRNA from 1 species